rnacentral:rRNA from 1 species
GUGCCAGCCGCCGCGGUAAUACGUAUGUCCCGAGCGUUAUCCGGAUUUAUUGGGCGUAAAGCGAGCGCAGACGGUUUAUUAAGUCUGAUGUGAAAGCCCGGAGCUCAACUCCGGAAUGGCAUUGGAAACUGGUUAACUUGAGUGCAGUAGAGGUAAGUGGAACUCCAUGUGUAGCGGUGGAAUGCGUAGAUAUAUGGAAGAACACCAGUGGCGAAGGCGGCUUACUGGACUGCAACUGACGUUGAGGCUCGAAAGUGUGGGUAGCAAACAGGAUUAGAUACCCUGGUAGUCCACACCGUAAACGAUGAACACUAGGUGUUAGGAGGUUUCCGCCUCUUAGUGCCGAAGCUAACGCAUUAAGUGUUCCGCCUGGGGAGUACGACCGCAAGGUUGAAACUCAAAGGAAUUGACGGGGACCCGCGACAAGCGGUGGAGCAUGUGGUUUAAUUCGAAGCAACGCGAAGAACCUUACCAGGUCUUGACAUCCUUUGAAGCUUUUAGAGAUUAGAAGUGUUCUCUUCGGAGACAAAGUGACAGGUGGUG